UGAGGAACAUGACCUUCGGCGGGGGAUAGCCGGCCCAACGGCCGGGUAAUACCGCGUACGACCACAUGGGGACAUCCCCGAGUGGUGAAAGCAGCAAUGCGCCGAUGGAGUGCCUCGCGGCCUAUCAGCUAGUUGGUGAGGUAACGGCUCACCAAGGCGACGACGGGUAGCUGGUCUGAGAGGAUGGCCAGCCACAUUGGGACUGAGACACGGCCCAGACCUCCGUAGGGACGG
rnacentral:rRNA from 1 species